GAUGAACGCUGGCUACAGGCUUAACACAUGCAAGUCGAGGGGAAACGACGGGGAAGCUUGCUUCCCCGGGCGUCGACCGGCGCACGGGUGAGUAACGCGUAUCCAACCUGCCUCUGACUGAGGGAUAACCCGUCGAAAGUCGGCCUAAUACCUCAUGGCAUCGUCUGCGGGCAUCCAACGACGAUUAAAGAUUUCAUCGGUCAGGGAUGGGGAUGCGUCUGAUUAGCUUGUUGGCGGGGUAACGGCCCACCAAGGCUACGAUCAGUAGGGGUUCUGAGAGGAAGGUCCCCCACAUUGGAACUGAGACACGGUCCAAACUCCUACGGGAGGCAGCAGUGAGGAAUAUUGGUCAAUGGGCGGGAGCCUGAACCAGUCAAGUAGCGUGCAGGAUGACGGCCCUAUGGGUUGUAAACUGCUUUUAUGCGGGGAUAAAGUGAGGGACGUGUCCUUCAUUGCAGGUACCGCAUGAAUAAGGACCGGCUAAUUCCGUG
rnacentral:rRNA from 1 species